AGAAUAACUGUGAACGGGAAGAGUAGGCGGUAUUGCCCUUCAGAGAGCGGAAUUGUUACGCUGAGAGAUUCCGCAGGAUACAGCUGGCCGAAGUCACCCCGGAGUUGUCUGUUUGAGCACCUUAUGUUGAUAAGGUUUAGAAUAUGACCGGUUGCAGCCGUUAUCUGUAUGAGUGUCGCGUGAGGUCGUGCGGCCUAUUUCCCUGUUGCAGGGUUAUUAGGUAUAGUUAACCGAUUCGCGAAACAAAGGUGGUACCGCGAGAGAAUAACCUUUCGUCCUUUGA
rnacentral:ncRNA from 1 species